CUGCGGGUUAAACCCAGGAUCUCCUGAAUGCUAAGCACGGGCUCUGCCACUGAGCAAUAAUCCCCACAAACAGAUUUUUAUUGUAACCGUUUUCAACUUCUUAGGAGGAGACAUCUUAGUUUCUGAUAUAAAUGCCCCCCACAUCUAUAAGCUUUUACCAUAAAACCCUUCCAGUAUGGAGAAGGAACAAUCCCCUCUCCAUACUAACCCCCUCCCCGGCUCACCAGACUAAGACCUGGGCUCCCUCGCCCACCAGCCCCUGGCGGGCAUCGCUCCGCCCACGCCCCACCCCGGAAGUCCCGCCUCUGGCUCCGGGCGAAAGUUUCCCCCGGAACCGGAAGCGGAGGUCGCUGACUGGCGGUCCCCCUAUGGAGCGUGUUUCUCCUUUCUAGUAUAAAUCUGUACUGCGUGUUCCUGCUUAAUCCAUCCUCUGAAUGUAGGAGUCACUGCGGACCUAAAAUCCCAGCACCCGGCCCUCAGCCCACGUAAAUCCAGACGGCACCGCUCCAGAUCGAUCUCUGAAGACCCACGUUGUCUGAGGAAGAAGUCCAGAAGAGGAGGAAGAGAAACAAAAAGGAAUCAAGAAUGACUGUUUCUCAGGAAAUACCCCGGGAUUCAACCACGGCCCCACGGCAACCACUUGGAGACCCACGGUCGCAGCCACUGGAUUGCUUGAGCCUCAGGAGCAAGACAUCUUAGUCUCCAAGUUUAGCAGCCCACAGUGCUGUGAGAUUUUACUUUAAAACUGUUCCAGGGUCAAGACAAGGGGAAGCACCAUCUGUGCACCCUCCCACCUCCGCCUGGGGAUCCCUCCUUGCCCCACCCUUACCGGAAGGGCUCCGCCCAGGCCCCGCCCCAGAAGUCCCGCCUUUAAGUCCCCCGCCGGCAGUUUCUUCUGGAAAGAGAAGUGGGAAAUGCCUAGGGAGGGCUAGCCAGCGGAGCAUGAGUUUCUUCUUUCUAGUAUAAAUCUGUGCUGCGCGGUCCCCCUUCCUCCGUCCUCAGGGUGUGGGAGUCACUGCGGACCAAAAGCCCCAUCACCCGGCCAUGUAAGUCCUGACGGCGCAGCCUCAGGUGCCACUGUGUGUGCGGGAGACAUAGGCCAACCAAACAGAAACGGAGUUUGGAGCUGAAAAAGGUUUAUUGGGAGGCUGAGUAAGGAGUAAUACAGACAAAAUUUCAGAGAACAUUUUGUUUUUUACUAUUUUUUAGUAUUUUAACUUUUAAAAGUAUUUUUAGGUUUUUUGUUUGUGUUUAGUAUUAUGGGUUGCAACUGAAGAAAUCUUGAGAUGCACUAUGAAAGAUAUAAAAGAAUUUGGAGUGUUUCCUUGGUUGAUGUGGGGU